GAUGAACGCUAGCGACAGGCUUAACACAUGCAAGUCGAGGGGUAACAGGGUAGCAAUACCGCUGACGACCGGCGCACGGGUGAGUAACGCGUAUGCAACCUGCCUAUAACUGGGAAUAGCUCCCUGAAAGGGGAAUUAACACCGCAUAACACUAUUGAUUCGCAUGGAUUGGUAGUUAAAUGUAGCGAUACAGGUUAUAGAUGGGCAUGCGUGACAUUAGCUAGUUGGUGAGGUAACGGCUCACCAAGGCUACGAUGUCUAGGGGUUCUGAGAGGAAGGUCCCCCACACUGGUACUGAGACACGGACCAGACUCCUACGGGAGGCAGCAGUGAGGAAUAUUGGUCAAUGGGCGCAAGCCUGAACCAGCCAUGUCGCGUGCAGGAAGACUGCCCUAUGGGUUGUAAACUGCUUUUAUAGUAGAAGAAACACAUCUACGUGUAGAUGUCUGCCAGUAUACUAUGAAUAAGCAUCGGCUAA
rnacentral:rRNA from 1 species